CAGAUUAUACUCGUGAAGAAGAUAAUUGGUGUAGUUAGUGUAUUCGUCAGUGUUUGUUUACAAUAAGUUAUUAUACAACUUAAUAAAACGUUCUUUCUAAACAUAUAAUUUAAACAUCUAAUUUUAGCUUCAAACCUACAAAAGUAAUGCCAAAAAGACACAUCGUAAGUUUAUCGAAAAUAUUGACUUCGGCACAAGUUCUUCAUCCACAAAUUCUUCCGAUUCAGACUAAUGAAUUCUUCUCUAAAACCAACAUAAAUCAUCUUUUUUGGUAAAUUGUUUAAUUUUUAAAUUUGUUUACCACAUUUGGUUGCUAAAACAAUGUGUUUAAUUUAUUUAGGAAAAUUUUUUAUCAAACAAAAGUACGUUACAAAAUUCCUACGAUAAGGAAAGCGUGUUAUCUGUUAACCGCAAAAAUUGAUUAUAAAAGUUCCGUUUUUAACACAUUUCACCAGUUUUAUUAAAACUAUCUUUGUGAGAAGUUGUGUGUGCUCCGCUGUGUAUUUUUGCAUUUAAAUUUCAAAGUGUUCUAUAAUGGCUGAUCAACUGUUAAAUCUGAAUAAAAUUGCUGCCUGUGAAUAUACUGAUACAUAUAUCAGUGCCAACGUUUUGGAAGUGAACAAGAAAUAUAAAAUCAUCAAUUUAACCAAGGCAAACACACAACAUGGUUAUGAUGGUAGCAUAUCUGGACAACGUCGGUAAAGUUUUUUUACCUAAACGACUAACAGCAGUUAUGAUUGAUACCACAAUUACGACAUUAAUGGAAGGACUCGAAUCUUAUUUGAUUUACAAGAGACGUAAGCAAGCUUAUGGAAAUCAGGAACAUGAUGCUCACAUUUUUAAUUUCGAACGUAUUAUUCUCGAAGAUUAAUGUAAAAUUUUUGAUUAAUUCUGCACUGCAACACCCCGGACGCAAGAACAAGCAAGAACUCACGCUUCAUAUUUUUAGAUGUAUUUUAUGAUAGUUUGUUGAAUAGGUAUUAUAAGUUGGA